GACGAACGCUGGCGGCGUGCCUAAUACAUGCAAGUAGAACGCUGAAGGAGGAGCUUGCUUCUCUGGAUGAGUUGCGAACGGGUGAGUAACGCGUAGGUAACCUGCCUGGUAGCGGGGGAUAACUAUUGGAAACGAUAGCUAAUACCGCAUAAUAGUAGAUGUUGCAUGACAUUUGCUUAAAAGGUGCAAUUGCAUCACUACCAGAUGGACCUGCGUUGUAUUAGCUAGUUGGUGAGGUAACGGCUCACCAAGGCAACGAUACAUAGCCGACCUGAGAGGGUGAUCGGCCACACUGGGACUGAGACACGGCCCAGACUCCUACGGGAGGCAGCAGUAGGGAAUUUUCGGCAAUGGACGGAAGUCUGACCGAGCAACGCCGCGUGAGUGAAGAAGGUUUUCGGAUCGUAAAGCUCUGUUGUAAGAGAAGAACGAGUGGAGAGGGAAAGUUCACA
rnacentral:rRNA from 1 species